rnacentral:rRNA from 1 species
CCUGGUGAACAUAGCAUUUUGGAACCACCUGAUCCCAUGCCGAACUCAGUAGUGAAACGAAAUAGCGCCGAUGAUUGAUGCCGCGCGCGAAAACUUAGCGUGAAUUUCGCGAAAA